CCUGGCAACUCUGGGGAAAAGCGUUCUGUGAUUGGACUGCAAGAGUAGAAGAUUUAGACAAACAAGUAUCAGCUGUUACAGCGCGAUAGGGCGGGACUAUGCUUUGGAUGAUGUUCGGAGAAAAGACGCUAAAAUUGGCUCUCAGAUUGAAUGAACUGAAUGAAUAUACAGGUUAUGGUUUGCCCUGUUUCUUGGACGGAGGGACCAAUGCAGUGAGCACUGUGUCAACCAGCUGGAUACCUGACUCUGACCCAACAGAAACCUCCCCGCAGUCCUUCUAGAGUUAUCUGGCAAGAUGAAACUGGGGAAGGAAGGCACCAUCACUGUCUCAGCCCAUUGUUGGAGGACUGCAAAAGCACAAGCUACAGCCAGUGGGACGGCACGAGUGCUACUGAUGGAACUCUUUUAUGUUGAUGUUUUUCUGAACUUUAAGCAUACCUUUAUCUGUUUUUGUAUUAUACAUAUAGUAGUAUAUGGUAGUAUAUAUUCUUGAAUUUAUAGUGAAGUGUAUUGUUAAAUAAAUAAUAAAAUAAAUUGUGAUGUGUGGUAAUAGAUGGUAUGUGUAUUAUUGAUAGUAAUAUAUUAAAAUAUAUUCUUGAA